UCCCCUUUUUGUACUUUGUCUUUCUGAUGGCUCCUUCCCCACUCAGGGGCCUGGUGGCCUCUAUCUUUCCAUCCUGCUUUAAAUUCUAUCCUGAAAAUGAUCUGAUAAACUAUCUCACGUGAAUGCUUGGAGAUGUUCAUGCGGGUGUAGGGGGAAACCUGGAAAAUUGAGAUGCAAAAGAAUACAACGAAACCCUUAAAAUCAAAGGCAUUAUUGUUCUUUUCUUUUUUUUUUUUAGUUUUUGGUUGGUGGGGAGAAGAGUUUAGGAAAUUUGUCCUUGGCUGACUUGGGGAGGUGGGAAGCAGAAUCCAGUUCUCUCUACGGUCUCCAUUUCCCUCCCCUCCUCUGACCAUCAGAGCCCCCGAGACCAGCUCUCUGGGUCAUAGACUCCCAGCAGCCUUGCAGGUCUGGCCAUAAAGCUCAGGGGUGAUUGAGUUCGCACUGAGAAACAACUCUGAGGGUUAACUCUCAGUUUCUUAGUAGUUGGAGAAAGAAGUGUGUCACUGCCGAAGGCUCUGGGAAUGUGUCUGAAGCUGUGCUUAAAGAGGCUGUGUGAAAGGAGAGAUAUAAGAAGAUCAAAGUGAGCCUUCAAGAGUCAGAAUCUGCCCAGAACUGGACAACUUCUGAUAGCAGUGGAGGGAGCAGCUAGAGGUGGCGUUUGUGUACUAUGGUCAAAGAAUGCUGCCCUCAUUUGUUAAGGAAAAAAAGAAAAAGAAAAAACUACCAGAGAGUAAAACAACUCAUAAAACUGUCAUGAAUAAUUCCAGCAGCUGGGCUGAAAUGGAAGGCUGCUCAAAGUACCUCUGGUUCUCCGUGACAAAGGCACCAGGAUCUUCAUGAGCUAUGGAAGGCCGCAAGAUCUGGCCGAGACGGUCCGACAGGAAUGAGAGUUCUCAGACCUGCACAGAACCUGUGACCAACUUACUCUCAGCCAACAGUUGCAUUGUGGGAACUCUUUGAAAUUGAGGGGAAAAUCCCCUAAUUAAAAGGUUCCUAAUCUCAGUUUCUGCUUAGGAAUUCCUUCUGGCACAUAUUAAACACACAGAUUUCUGGACUUCAACUUCAGAGAUCCUAAUGCCAGGAUCAUCAGUGGAGCCCAAGAGUCUACAUUUAAGAAGCUGUCUAGAAUGGACAAUUAGUCAGCUAUAUAAAUAAAAGAAAAUACUAGUGUAAGAAACA
rnacentral:lncRNA from 1 species